UACGGAGGGUGCAACCGUUGCUCGGAAUCAUUGGGCGUAAAGCGCACGUAGGCGGUUCGACAAGUCGGGUGUGAAAGCCCUGGGCUUAACCCAGGAAGUGCAUUCGAAACUGUCGGACUUGAAUACUGGAGAGGGUCGCGGAAUUCCCGGUGUAGAGGUGAAAUUCGUAGAUAUCGGGAGGAACACCAGUGGCGAAGGCGGCGACCUGGACAGAUAUUGACGCUGAGGUGCGAAAGCGUGGGGAGCAAACAGG
rnacentral:rRNA from 1 species